GGAAAAUGGGGGCAACCUGAUCAGCAUGCCGCGUGUGUGAAGAAGGUCUUCGGAUUGUAAAGCACUUUUGGCAGGGACGAUGAUGACGGUACCUGCAGAAUAAGCCCCGGCUAACUUCGUGCCAGCAGCCGCGGUAAUACGAAGGGGGCUAGCGUUGCUCGGAAUGACUGGGCGUAAAGGGCGCGUAGGCGGCACACACAGUCAGAUGUGAAAUUCCUGGGCUCAACCUGGGGACUGCAUUUGAUACGUGUGAGCUAGAGUGAAGAAGAGGGUUGUGGAAUUUCCAGUGUAGAGGUGAAAUUCGUAGAUAUUGGAAAGAACACCGGUGGCGAAGGCGGCAACCUGGUCUUUAACUGACGCUGAGGCGCGAAAGCGUGGGGAGCAAACAGGAUUAGAUACCCUGGUAGUCCAUGCCGUAAACG
rnacentral:rRNA from 1 species